AUUAGUUUUACUAGCUGAUAUUUAUGACUAUCCUGGGACAACAUUUUAUUUUUCCAAAGAGAUUUUACUUGCAUGAUAGUAAUAAGUUUAAUAGUAACAGAGAAGUGUGAUGGAUAUGUGCAAGUAAUUAUCAUUAGAAAUACAAAGAUUAAACUGUAAUUUUGACCAUUGUAAAUGUAUUAUUAAAGAAACAAAAUACAAAAGUCACACAAGGCUAUUUAACAUAAUACAGUCAUAAUACCAGACUGGUUAAAGAACUACUGAAUAGAGGGAUCAUGAAAAUCUUCUAAGAUUACUACCAUAGCUCUGUAACAGGAAAAGGUAUACAGUGAGUUAAGGUUUCUUCACCUUGAUGAACAAAAUUAUAUAGCAUAAUGCUUUAGAAAACUAUAAUGCCAUCAACUAAUUCCCAUUUAAAAAUUUUCAUGUUGGUCACUGUGAAAUAUAAUCUUGAGGCCAUCUUAAUGAUUGUUUACUAUCUGAUUGAUGACAUGAUUUAUAUAUAUUUCCAUGGAAUUCAAGUUGUUUUUUUCCCCAAGUUCAUGUAAAAUAUGGUUCACCUGUUAAAAUAAUAAAAUAUUUAUUAGUUGUUUUGUAACAGAACAGUACCUGCUUUAAAGAAAAUAUAGGAAAGAGAAAAUUGAAAUAACAGUUGUACACUGUAUAUGGAAAACAGAAUAAAAUCUUUUUAAGCAUUUCUACUACGUACUGUUAUCAUAAUUU